UCUGGACCAGUGACGGCCUGUCUGUAAACCCAGCAUUGGGGAGGGCAGGCCUGAUGAUCCAUA
rfam:Larimichthys crocea isolate SSNF unplaced genomic scaffold scaffold578, whole genome shotgun sequence.